rnacentral:rRNA from 1 species
UUUUUGUAUUGAUCCUGGCUCAGAUUGAACGCUGGCGGCAUGCCUUACACAUGCAAGUCGAACGGCAGCACGGGGGCAACCCUGGUGGCGAGUGGCGAACGGGUGAGUAAUACAUCGGAACGUGUCCUGUAGUGGGGGAUAGCCCGGCGAAAGCCGGAUUAAUACCGCAUACGCUCUACGGAGGAAAGGGGGGGAUCUUAGGACCUCUCGCUACAGGGGCGGCCGAUGGCAGAUUAGCUAGUUGGUGGGGUAAAGGCCUACCAAGGCGACGAUCUGUAGCUGGUCUGAGAGGACGACCAGCCACACUGGGACUGAGACACGGCCCAGACUCCUACGGGGAGGCAGCAGUGGGGGAAUUUUGUGACAAUGGGGGCAACCCCUGAUCCCAGCAAUGCCGCGUGUGUGAAGAAGGCCUUCGGGGUUGUAAAGCACUUUUGUCCGGGAAAGAAAACCGCCGCCCUAAUAUGGUGGUGGGAUGACGGUACCGGAAGAAUA